ensembl:lncRNA
UGAAUCCAUUCAUAAAACUUGAAGGCAAAUAAACAGGAAGGACAACCAGAACACUAGCAGCUGUAGGAGAACAUCAGAGGACCUAACAUGUGUGAGCGCAGUACCAGAGCAGAUGUAAAAAUAGAGGUCCAAAGAUAUCAGCUAGCUUGCUGGUUGUAUAAUUAUUUAAUGGGAACCCAGAUCUUGAAUUCAGAUCUUCUGACUGUUAAAGUACUCUAUCCCUAGUGGCUCAAACGGUAAAGCAUCUGCCUGCAAUGCGGGAGACCUGGGUUCAAUCCCUGGGUUGGGAAGAUCUCCUGGAGAAGGAAAUGG